GACGAACGCUGGCGGCGUGCUUAACACAUGCAAGUCGAACGGAAAGGCCCUGCUUUUGUGGGGUGCUCGAGUGGCGAACGGGUGAGUAACACGUGAGUAACCUGCCCUUGACUUUGGGAUAACUUCAGGAAACUGGGGCUAAUACCGGAUAGGAGCUCCUGCUGCAUGGUGGGGGUUGGAAAGUUUCGGCGGUUGUGGAUGGACUCGCGGCUUAUCAGCUUGUUGGUGGGGUAGUGGCUUACCAAGGCUUUGACGGGUAGCCGGCCUGAGAGGGUGACCGGCCACAUUGGGACUGAGAUACGGCCCAGACCCCUACGGGAGGCAGCAGUGGGGAAUAUUGCACAAUGGGCGGAAGCCUGAUGCAGCAACGCCGCGUGCGGGAUGACGGCCUUCGGGUUGUAAACCGCUUUCGCCUGUGACGAAGCGUGAGUGACGGUAAUGGGUAAAGAAGCACCGGCUAACUACGUG
rnacentral:rRNA from 1 species